AUCAUUACCGAGUGCGGGCUGCCUCCGGGCGCCCAACCUCCCACCCGUGACUACCUAACACUGUUGCUUCGGCGGGGAGCCCUCUCGGGGGCGAGCCGCCGGGGACUACUGAACUUCAUGCCUGAGAGUGAUGCAGUCUGAGUCUGAAUAUAAAAUCAGUCAAAACUUUCAACAAUGGAUCUCUUGGUUCCGGCAUCGAUGAAGAACGCAGCGAACUGCGAUAAGUAAUGUGAAUUGCAGAAUUCAGUGAAUCAUCGAGUCUUUGAACGCACAUUGCGCCCUCUGGUAUUCCGGGGGGCAUGCCUGUCCGAGCGUCAUUGCUGCCCUCAAGCACGGCUUGUGUGUUGGGCCCCCGUCCCGGUUAAGCAUCAGCCCCGGGACGGGCCCGAAAGGCAGCGGCGGCACCGUGUCCGGUCCUCGAGCGUAUGGGGCUCUGUCACCCGCUCGUGUAGGUCCGGCCGGCGGCCAGCCCGACCCUUUAACCAAUCUUUUAACCAGGUUGACCUCGGAUCAGGUAGGGAUACCCGCUGAACUUAAGCAUAUCAAUAAGCGGAGGA
rnacentral:rRNA from 1 species